GCGGUUGUCGUAUAGUGGUUAGUACGUCACGUUGUGGCCGUGACAACCCCGGUUCGAAUCCGGGCAACCGCA
rfam:Intoshia linei isolate Intl2013 Contig_25776, whole genome shotgun sequence.